UUUAAAGAGCACCUAUUAUGGGAUACACGUUUUUAAACAUCCUUUUGUGUGUAAGUGUGCAUUAGUACAUGCUAACGAUAUUCAAAAAGUACAUACCUCAAAGAAAACGAUGACGCGAGUUAUCGUCUCUAACGUUCGAGGACUACAAAAAACACUCGGAUUGUAGGCAACAGUUUACUUCCUGGGAUUGGUGACGUAGAUAAGACCAACAUUAUCAUAGUUCAGCCCUCUCUGCUUUGCUUGGGUACGCCCUCAAAGACGGGGGUGGGGAGCGCCGAGUCAGAAGAGAGCUAAAAUGGCGGAGGUUGUGAGUCCCUGCUGUGACUCUGUUUGCAAACUCUUGUUUCAUUGUUUAAGCGAUUAAAUCUCUCGAGUAGACGCUGUCUCUUUAGAUGCGAGGGCAAAAUAGCACUUUAUGGACUUCCACAGAGGACAUCAUGUUUAAUACGGUUCCGGAAAAAUCCAGUCAGAAGUUCUUCACGGAGUUUUCACAAUAACUGCUUCUCAUGAACCGAAGCUGGAUUUGCGCGAAGUCUCCUCUUGAAAGUUGGAUUACUGUGCACUUCUGGAUCACAGGCUAUUCGCAGCUGGACACAUCCUUCUACACUGUAUGCAAACAUGCAACAUCAUUACACACAGUACAAGGAGUCAGACUGGCAUAUGAGGAGCAAAGGUGUGUAACACAUAUGAUGUAUUUAGCUAGUCUUAGAUGUAUAAAGUUUUUUUUCUCUGCAUAAUAAUAGGAACCCAGGCAGUAGCAUCGUUUCACAAUGUUUCCAUCACCAUCAUCAGUGGAUGCCUUUGCUGUCCGUAGCCUGAGAUUUCAGAUUUGCAGCAAAAAAAAAAUUAUUUUCUCAUUUAUUGGAAUGCUGUGCAGGUAUUUGUACCUUGCAGCCAUCCAUUACAAUGUCACCAAGCCGUAACAAAAGCAGGAGAGGGAAAGUACAAGGCUAUGUUCCCAAAACACACAAGUGACAUACCUUAUGUGGAGGAUGUGAUCAGGCUUGUGUUUGAUGAGGUAUUUGAAGAUAAGCUGAAGGAAGCCCUGAUUCCAAUGGACCUGGCAUCACAGUUUGAGAGACCUUCAAAGGAGGACGUGAUUGCAUGCCAUCUUCAGUGCAG